rnacentral:rRNA from 1 species
UUCGAAGAUACGCGAAGAACCUUACCUAGCCUUGACAUUGAUUGAACACUUUAGAGAUAGAGUGGUGCCCUUCGGGGAACAUGAAAACAGGUGCUGCACGGCUGUCGUCAGCUCGUGUCGUGAGAUGUUGGGUUAAGUCCCGCAACGAGCGCAACCCUCGUCCUUAGUUGCCAGCAGGUUAUGCUGGGCACUCUAAGGAGACUGCCUUCGCAAGGAGGAGGAAGGUGAGGACGACGUCAAGUCAUCAUGGCCCUUAUGGCUAGGGCUACACACGUGCUACAAUGGGGCGUACAGAGUGUUGCGAUACCGCGAGGUGGAGCUAAUCACUUAAAGCGUCUCUCAGUUCGGAUUGGAGUCUGCAACUCGACUCCAUGAAGCUGGAAUCACUAGUAAUCGUAGAUCAGCAAUGCUACGGUGAAUACGUUCCCGGGUCUUGUACUCACCGCCCGUCACACCAUGGGAGUUGAUUUCACCCGAAAUUGGGAAGCUAACCUUCGGGAGGCUACCA